CACAGGCAUGUCAUAUGGAUGGCUGGUUUCCUCUCCCAACAAGAACCUUGCUGGGAAUCACAGUCACUGCUAUAUGUCAUUCUACUCUUGAGUAAUACUGUUGUGUCGGCAACACGGCCCCUCCAGGAAAGUGGGAAGUAAUGCCAGCUCCUGCAAGAAAUUUGCCACCCAGCUGAGCUCUCUCAGAACAGUAGUGGCUUUUCUACGCCCUAUAUUUGUCAAUAAUUUCUGCUCAUGGGGUUGGUCAGUUCUUUGUGGCUAGGGAAAGUUGUAGCCCUUUAUCAAAUGCAGCUCUCAGCCCUGCCAGAUGUGAUCUGCUUUUCAUUUAAAAGUCUUGCAGAAAGCAACCAAGUGUCUGAGCCGUGCCCAGUCCUCCUGGGCAAAUUCUUUGCCACCUCAGAUGUUAAUUCCUAGAAACUCUAUUGUUGAGAGCCACGGUCCUUAGAGUUCUGCUGAGCUGCGGAUCCUGGAGAGGCUUAAAGACAUUUUCUGCUGCAGUCGUUUGGAACGGCUCUGCAUUACUGUGAUCUCCAUUACAACACAAUAACAGGAAACGUUUCGGUGGCCUCUGCAGUACUUGGCAUAUUAUUUCACUUUAAUGCUCGUAUUGUUUGAGCAUUAAUAAAACUGGAAACUGUGAUAUAAUUAAAUCCAUUCUUCCUACAGAGAAGAUGACUGUCUAAGAUAGUGGCAAGAGCAGCAGACUCACAUGUCGCCUGGAGGAGAGAGAGCCUUCCCCUUGCCAAGGCACAGCAGACACGUGCUUGGGUUUAUAUCCUUAUGCAUAAAAAGAGCUCCAGUUGAGAGCUGGAGACCUCUUGUACCUCUGGAUCCAGCACCAUGAGACUUUAUUUCUUGAGCUAUAAGAUUAUCCUGUUAGACCAAAGGAUAAACUGUUCUCAUGAUGCACAACCUGGGCCACUCACGGGAUAAGAUUUUACAUGCAGAGGCCAAAUAAAUGAUAGUGCCAUGGCUUGUUUGAACCAGCUGAAAUAAAUAUCUGAAGUCAGGGUUCUGAGCAACCUGAGCUGGUGAAGAUGUCCCUGCUCAUGGCAGGGGUGGCACUGGGGGAGCUGGGAAGGUCCCUUCAACCCAAACCAUUCCGUGAUUCUAUGAUUCUAUGAUUCUGUUAUGUCAUAUCUCUCCAAACAGUCUGAGUCAACAAAGUCCCUCGUGUAUUCAGUCUCCUUUGCUGUAUGCUCAGAACUGUUGCAGUGACCAAGAAAAUGUGUUUCCUGAAAUGCAAUGAAGAUUUUCCUUUGGCCACACUUGAACUUCUCUUCUUUGCAAGAGUCCAGCUGUAAUUGAAUCUCUGCUAAACUUUUAAUGUGUCCUUUUGACUCUUGAUUGAAUCAAUACUAAGAAAAAGUCACUUUCUCCAGUGUCACAAUACACAAAUUAGCUCAGAAAAUUCCUGCAUCAAGGAAUACCACAGGGCAGAUCCAAACAUCCCCAUUUCCCUGGAAAAGUUCAGAGCUUGGGGGAGGACAGCAGAAAAGAGGGUGAAUGGCUGACCAAGCUACUCAAGAUGUGGCACUAAAAACUAAUCCCCCUCACCAGCCGAGUGACAUCCACCCCAGGAAAGGUCCCAGCACUCCCUCCGUGAGGGCUCCUGAGAAAAGGCUUCCCAAACCACCUGAACUUUCAAGGACCAAACCAGCAGAGACAGAAGGAAAAUCAGUCAAACCUCAGAAUGAACUUUAAUAAGAAGAAUGAUCUGGAAUAGCUAAUAAAAAGCAUAUGAAAUCCUAAGCAAUGCUGAUUUUCUCUGUAGCUAGGUGCAGAAAUGACCCAAACUUCUUUUCUAUAUUUUUAUAAGACUUUAUACUAAAACGUGGUCACUCUUAAUCAGCAGAAAAGACUGCUGCUGAUCUCUAAUUUUGCAACCACGUUAUUUCAAAUGUUGUUUUCCUGUUGUUAAUAAUGUGAGAGGAGAAGAAAACAAAGCUAAAGACGUGAAGAUGUAAUUAACGAACACAUACAUCAGUCCACUGUGCUCAGUACUAGAAAGAGCAGUGCAUCAGUAAAUAUUUACAGAACUUUAAUAUAUUGUGUUUCUAUAAUACAUUAACACAAGUAGACUAUAUAUAUGUUACUUGGGAAGAUGUUACAUAUUCUGGUUUCUCUCCUUUAGUUUUGGGGUCCAUCAUUAGUGUCUUACAGAAGGAUUAUUUGAAAUUCAG